rnacentral:rRNA from 1 species
UGAGUAACACGUGAGUGACCUGCCUUUUAGACUGGAACAACUUACCGAAAGGUGAGCUAAUGCCGGAUGAGUUAUAUAAGUGCAUGUUUAUAUAGGAAAAGUUGGGGAGACCUGACGCUGAAAGAUGGACUCGCGUCCCAUUAGCUAGUUGGUAGGGGUAAUGGCCUACCAAGGCGACGAUGGGUAGCCGGCCUGAGAGGGUGGCCGGCCACACUGGGACUGAGACACGGCCCAGACUCCUACGGAAGGCAGCAG